CACGCCGUAAACGAUGGUCACUAGCUGUUCGGGGGCGACCCUGAGUGGCUAAGCGAAAGUGAUAAGUGACCCACCUGGGGAGUACGUUCGCAAGAAUGAAACUCAAAGGAAUUGACGGGGGCCCGCACAAGCGGUGGAGCAUGUGGUUCAAUUCGAUGAUACGCGAGGAACCUUACCAGGGCUUAAAUGCUAUUUUGACAGGGGUAGAGAUACCUUUUCCUUCGGGCAAUUUGCAAG
rnacentral:rRNA from 1 species